rnacentral:pre_miRNA from 1 species
UUCACCUGGGAAUCUUGUGAAAUUGCAGAUUCUGAUUCAGGAGGUCUAGGGUGAGGCCUGAGAUUCUGCAUGUCUCACAAGCUCCCGGGAGAUGCCUA